rnacentral:lncRNA from 1 species
UGAACUGGAAUAUUUUAGAUACAUCCAUAGUCCUCAUUCAAAAACGAGACGUGAGAGUCAUUCGGAGACCUUGUUGAAACACAGAUUGCUGACACCAUCUUCACUCCAGAGAAAAUCUCCUUGCAUAGUCUUGAGAUGGCCUGAUAAAGUCACUUUCUUCACACAGAGACUCUGGAUGAGAAUCUUUGCAGCAGGUGUGAUCUAUCUGAGGACAGUGGCUUUUGACAGUUUUGAGCUGCAUCCUAGCCCCUUGUCAUUUGUUAAGAUAAUUAACUACUAGGUACAUGGAACUUGGAGACUAUAAUGGUCGGGACUUGAAGAUGGGUUCCAAUUAUGUCU